GUCAAGUCAGCAUGGCCUUUAUGUCUGGGGCUACACACGUGCUACAAUGGCCGGUACAAACCGUCGCGAUACCGUGAGGUGGAGCUAAUCGGACAAAGCCGGUCUCAGUUCGGAUUGCAGGCUGCAACUCGCCUGCAUGAAGUUGGAAUCGCUAGUAAUCGUAUAUCAGCAAUGAUACGGUGAAUACGUUCCCGGACCUU
rnacentral:rRNA from 1 species